rnacentral:ncRNA from 1 species
AUAAAAAAAAUUCUUGGGGAACAUCCCUGGUGUCAACCAAAAUCGCUAGGAUUUUCUUAGUAGCGGCGAGCGAAAAGAAAUCAGUUCAGCACUAAGUCACUUUGUCUAUAUGGCAAAUGUGAGAUGCAGUGUAUGGAGCGUCAAUAUUCUAGUAUGAGAAAUUAACGAUUUAAGUCCUUCUUAAAUGAGGCCAUUUACCCAUAGAGGGUGCCAGGCCCGUAUAACGUUAAUGAUUACUAGAUGAUGUUUCCAAAGAGUCGUGUUGCUUGAUAGUGCAGCACUAAGUGGGUGGUAAACUCCAUCUAAAACUAAAUAUAACCAUGAGACCGAUAGUAAACAAGUACCGUGAGGGAAAGUUGAAAAGAACUCUGAAUAGAGAGUUAAAUAGUACGUGAAACUGCUUAGAGGUUAAGCCCGAUGAACCUGAAUAUCCGUUAUGGAAAAUUCAUCAUUAAAGUUAUAAUAUUUAAACAAUAUUAUACAAAUAAUGUGCAUUUUUUCCAUAUAAGGACAUUGUAAUCUAUUAACAUAUUAAAUUUAUCAUAAAAUAUGGCUUAUAGUUUAUUCAAAUUAUUAUGCUUGCAUUUUAACAUAGAAUAAAUGUCAUUAAUUUGAUAAAGUGUUGAUAGACUAAUAAGAAUACAGUGCGUUAAUUUUUCGGAAUUAUAUAAUGGCAUAAUUAUCAUUGAUUUUUGUGUUUAUUAUAAGCACUUGUAUGAUUAACAAUGCGAAAGAUUCACGAUACCUUCGGGACCCGUCUUGAAACACGGACCAAGGAGUCUAACAUAUGUGCCAAGUUAUUGGGAUAUAAACUUAUAGCGUAUUUAACUUGACCAAUAAUGGGGAUAGUUUUUUACUAUUUUAUACCUAAUUAAAACAAUUCCGGGUGCGUUCUAUAUAAUUUUUGUAUAAAAAUUUUUUUUUUUUUUUUUCCCUCAUACUGGAACAUUUCUUGAACUAAAUAUUUUUGGACCCAAAAAAAGGUAAAUUUUUCUUUAUUUGGGUUUAAAUCGGGGGAAAACCCCGUAGGGAAAACCCAUAAACCUUUUGAAAGAUCAAAUAUCUUUUUUUUUCAAAAAU